GACGAACGCUGGCGGCGUGCUUAACACAUGCAAGUCGAACGGAAAGGCCCUGCUUUUGUGGGGUGCUCGAGUGGCGAACGGGUGAGUAACACGUGAGUAACCUGCCCUUGACUUUGGGAUAACUUCAGGAAACUGGGGCUAAUACCGGAUAGGAGCUCCUGCUGCAUGGUGGGGGUUGGAAAGUUUCGGCGGUUGGGGAUGGACUCGCGGCUUAUCAGCUUGUUGGUGGGGUAGUGGCUUACCAAGGCUUUGACGGGUAGCCGGCCUCAGAGGGUGACCGGCCACAUUGGGACUGAGAUACGGCCCAGACUCCUACGGGAGGCAGCAGUGGGGAAUAUUGCACAAUGGGCGGAAGCCUGAUGCAGCAACGCCGCGUGCGGGAUGACGGCCUUCGGGUUGUAAACCGCUUUCGCCUGUGGCGAAGCGUGAGUGACGGUAAUGGGUAAAGAAGCACCGGCUAACUACGUG
rnacentral:rRNA from 1 species